GUUCAGACUUAGUCCGAGUGGCGUAACUACCGGGGGUGCACAGGGUGGGGCCCCUCCAGGAAAAUACUUCUCCUGAAUCCCCAGGCUAUUCCACAGCCGCCUAAGGAGGUCCUUCAGCAGGAAUAGGCCAAUUAGGGAGCUUUAACAGCAGCAAUUUCUAUUUGCUGUAAAACCUGGAGUGCCCCCUGAUUGGCCAGUUUGUAAAGUAAUUUUUUUCUUCAUCACUUCUGCUGGCUCCUGUCUGUGUAACCUGAUCACCCCCCUCCUCCACAGAACACUCAGCUAAGCAGAGAGGAAAGGAAUCAGCUGACAGCAGCAAGAAACCCUAUUUUCUUAUUCACCUGCUGCUUCCAAAGAAUAUGCCAGUAAGAAGCAGAAGAAAAGAGAUAAAGCAAAAGGGAUGGAAUUGAGAUCAUAAUACAGAAGAAGACAAGACAUUUCUCGGGACACUCUCAUGUUUAUGGAAUGAAUUGAGGCGCGGCACAGUCCGGAACUGAUCAGUGCAAGGGAGCCGAUAUUCCAGUGGUGGAUUUCAAGUUUUAGGAGGGGCACGAGGAGAAUGAAAAAAUUGCCAAGCAGGAAAGACCGAAGGGCAAUCUAUUGGGAGUGUGUCGGGGGCUGAGACAACGUCUAGGGAUCAAUGUUUUCACUGCAUGUAGGAGACGCAAGGUUCUUCAGGGACUUCCCCUGCUAGACAUUGAUUGUGAAGUUCCAAGGAGAAGAUUUCAAUGAGCCCCCUGCACAGAACACUCUAAAGGGAGAAUGACAAAAGGGAUGACUUCUUCGUACUUCACGUCUCUGUGAUUAGAAAGAUGGUGACAAGACUUUGCCUGCUGGUAGCUGCUGCCUGCUUUGCUGCAGAACUGGUACAAGGGUUCAUCUUUUUGCGCUACUGCGCAUGCACAGCCUCAAGAAAAAAGAAGAAGCCAGAAGACGAUCGCUCUGUGAUGCUUGCUGGAAGACUCUUGGGACAGUUCUGAUAUCUUCUGAUAUGAGCCCUGGGCUUCAGUUAAGUACAUGUCAUCACUUGGGGGUGCCUAACUUUUUGCACCCCCAAGUUAAAAGACCUUUCCUGCUCCUUUAUGGUUUAAAUGAUUUUUAAGACUUAAAGACCCAUUUAUCCACAAAACCCCAAGUUCCGACUAUUCUAGAUAAUAGGUCCUAUACCUGUAUAAUAUAUUAGUGGUAAGAAAGGUAGUUUUGGUGGGAAUAAAUCUUAUUUGAUAUAGUCCCACAAGCUGUUAGUAAUAUGCCUUAUACUGCUUCAUAGGCAAAUGGAGUUUUAAUCACAGUGGAAAAGCUAUGCAUUUUUUCUACCUUGCCCUUUAUUCCUCCCUGGCUCUCCAGUUAAGCAUGAUCAGCCUUCUGGCUUAAAAGAAAGCCUUAAUUAGGAAUAUUUACUGGGGAGGUGUCAGGCUCAAAUUAGCAGCAAUCAGGGGUCAGAAUUGAAGAAGGUGGGAAACAACUCGCUUAUUCCCAUGCACUAUGCAGUAGAGGACUUGUGGCCUUUUGCCAAUUAGGCAAUGCCACAGGUUUAAUUUUGUGCAAUAGUGCUUUAGUAUAGUAGACCCCACUCAACAAAUACAUUGUAUGUCUGCAAUUGACAGAGACCUGGAUAGGAGUAUGUAAGAUUUCCUUCAAUUGUGUAUUGGAUAAGGGAUCCCAUUUGUCCUCCCAAGUUGCCCUGCAUUUUAUAGGGGAUCUAUUGCAAAUAUACCCCCAAAAACAUUUACACCAUUGCGAUAUCUUACAGUUCAUAUGCCCUGUUCUUUCCAGGGUGAGUAAAGCGUCUAAUGAGGUGUCCCUAAUGGAGAUCACCACUAUGCAAAGGUUUUGAGUGAUACAAAGUAUCAUCUGAAGACACUUUCCUCGUAGUAUGAGGGCGAUAAAUACAUAUUAGGUAAUACUAACUCCACCCAUUGAAUAUAGCCAUGAAUAAAAAUAUAUCUACCCCUAGUGUUAGAUUUGAGUAACCAACCUGAAUGGUGUUGAUUUGAUGAUCAGUAUGGGCACUCCCGAUGAGAAGGGAGAACAUGUGGUGUUGUAACACAAGCCCACCCAAGGGCACUUGAGCACCAACACCUAACUUCCCUGUAGGUGGGUCUUGUGCAAUAUAGAUAAUUUUGGUACUGGAUUUUUUUUAUCAUAUCCAGGAAUUUUGACAUUGUCAUUUAAUACGGCACGUUCCAUGUAACCGUUUUGUACACAUCGCUUACCUAGGGUAUAAUAGUGCAUCAGGUUCUCUCUUAAACCUCUUACAAGGAGACAGCUCAUACUUAAAAAUGUUGCCACUUGGUAAGAAAGCCAAACCACCAUUCUUUCCUUAGUGCCAAAGCCUUUUUUGUUACUAGAGUACCUGGGUAAAGGUAUGAGCUGGGCUAAGAGUGAGUUUUACCUUUUUUGGGGGGUCUAUAGCAAUCAAACUGCUUAUAGGCAUAACCCUAAAAAUGUAUUGUUUUUGGGUUUUUUUUUUUUUUUGCAGGAGGGCAUGUCUGAGAACACUUACAAGGAGAUGGCUCCUUUUGGCUAUAUUUGGGACCCUCUUGGACACUGAAUCACACCUUUUAGAUUAGCCAUUUUUGUUAUGUGUCUUCCAGCGGAUGCACGUAGUAUACAUGACAUGAUGGGGAAUGGUGCCAAGAAUAACCAUUAUACACAGAAUCUCCAAUUUGUUUCCAGGGUCUUUUCUUACCCAUCAUCCCAGUAGGACUUAAAAAGCUGAAUAGUCAAAGUCCUUAAAGGCUUCAUCUAUCUCGCUCGCCAUUUCAAGAGGGGUUCCUUUGGGCUGCGUCAGAUUCGCCGGCAGCACUCUGGUUUUGGAAUAUUAUCCUCAAGGUGAGGGCCCUGAGAUGUUUCCUCCUCAUUCUCUGCAACAUCGCUAGUGAGAUUAGUAAAUUGAGGUUGUUGAAUCUCCAGGAUGACAGAUUC